rnacentral:rRNA from 1 species
UACAGAGGUCUCAAGCGUUGUUCGGAUUUAUUGGGCGUAAAGAGCGUGUAGGCGGCCUUACAGGUCAGCUGUGAAAACUCGAGGCUCAACCUCGAGACGUCGGUUGAAACCGUAAGGCUAGAGUCCGGAAGAGGAGAGUGGAAUUCCCGGUGUAGCGGUGAAAUGCGCAGAUAUCGGGAAGAACACCCGUGGCGAAGGCGGCUCUCUGGGACGGUACUGACGCUGAGACGCGAAAGCGUGGGGAGCGAACAGG